UCCGAUUGGCCAGCGUGGAAUUCUGACGCGGCUUCUGGGUCCGAGAACGUGGCCCGUUCCGGCGCAGUGAGGGAAGGCGCACGCCUGCGAACUAGCCGGGCCGAUACCGCGGGCGCCCCCUGGUCGCGUGGAGGGCGAUGAGCGAACGACCCGGGACUUGUCUGAAUGGGACCCCAGCAAGGCACACGUGGUCUUCAAUGCGAUGGGCGCUUCCAGGGGACCCGGCGUCCCUUGGGUCCAGGAAGUCUUAUACUGUCUCCUCUCACGGCCCCGACAGAAACGGUUUCUGAGGAGUAGAAGUGUCCUAAGUGGAUUGGAAAUUACAAAUGCCGGAAAGAACCUAGGGAUGGAAAGCAGCCCUCAACUUUGACCAACCGCCGUGGGUUAGGUUUACAGUGGGGAAAAAAAAUAGAAAUUGUGCCUGACUUCAAUGACCGCCACUAUUUGAAGCAAACUGCCCAUCCAAGCCUUAUCAUCCCCUUUAACACCCUAAUGUUUCUGUCCAUGUGGACUUCGACGUGGUCCUCUAGAAUGGUUUUGUACUUCCCCGCGACUCAGCCCACCAGCACCCAGUUGAAAUAAACAGCCAUGUUGCUCACAGAAAGCCUGUUUGGUGAUCUCUUCACACGGACACAUGAAACAUUUGGUGCCAAAGACCCGGGUCAGUGGGACUCCUUUUGGAGACCAGUCCCCUGUCCUCACCCUCACUCCGUGAAGAGAUCCACCUACGACCUCAGGUCCUCAGACCAACCAGCCCAAGGAACAUCUCACCGAUUUUAAAUCAGGAAACUGAAUUCCAAAAAGGAAACGAACUAACUCAAAUUUUCCCUGAUCUGGAAUUACAAGCAUCAGCUCAUUAUUCCUGCAAUAAAACCGAUUGGCCAGGAGCUAAACAGAAGACUUCUAAAAAAUGAAAACCCCUGGCCGGGCGCGGUGGCUCACGCCUGUAAUCCCAGCACUUUGGGACGCCGAGGCAGGCGGAUCACGAGGUCAGGAGAUCGAGACCAUCCCGGCUAACACUGUGAAACCCCGUCUCUACUAAAAAUGCGAAAAAUUAGCCGGGCGUGUUGGCGGGCGCCUGUAGUCCCAGCUACUCGGGAGGCUGAGGCAGGAG
rnacentral:lncRNA from 1 species